AUUCUGGGAAUGCCCUUGACUAGCAGUGUUUCCAGACAAGACAGAAUCGAAAAAAGAAAAGAAAUCCAAGAAGAGAGAGGCAAGACGAAGAGGAGAAAAUCUGUUUCCUGAGACACUGGCUGUGUCUGAAUCAUCUUCCAACAUGAUUCAAGCAACCUUGGCAUGAAAAACCAGGUCAAAUCUACAUAAAUUCAUUGCCACGCCACUCCCACUAUGAUUAUUCAGGAGGGGGAAAAAAGUGUUAGAGGUGAUAAUGAUCCUGAAAUAAGUUGAGGCACAAACACAAGCUUAUAAUAACACAUCCUUUUGUCUUUUUCUGUGACAGGUGGAACCGGGAGUGUUUUGGCUGCAGACACAGGGAUUCCAGCCCUGGGCCCUGUCCUAUCACUGCCUUCCCCGAGCCUUGGCUUUCUGGGCCUUCUGCGUUUCUGUGGUAUAUGGUUACUCUCCCCAACAAGGUGGCAGCACAGCUCUCCUCCGCCUCCUUCGACUCUUGAGUUACUUAUUCAUUGGUAUUGUUGUGCCUACCUGUUCAGCACAGAGGACCUGCUUGUUUCCUGCUUCUGUCCCAGCCAACACCACUUUCCCCAGUCAGGGGACAGUCAAGUCUAUCUAUGUAAAAGAGCCGUCAAGAGUCACCAAAAAGUACUGCGCAGUUGCCUUCCAUAAAAAGGAUACACCAGCAUCCGCUCUCACACCAGGUGCAGGAGAAUACCUGCGUUCUCGCAUCCCCAUCACGCCUGGAUUUUCAUCUAGCUUUUUAAUACUGUGAGUAUCAAUGGAUUAAAAAAAAAGAUAUUCUUUUCCAUCUGUAUUUUCCUGAAUAUGAGUGAAAUCCAGCAUCUUUUCAAAUGUUUCCAGUCAUUUGUAUUUAUUUGCCCAUGAAUUGCC
rnacentral:lncRNA from 1 species